AUUGAACGCUGGCGGCAGGCCUAACACAUGCAAGUCGAACGGUAACAGGAAGCAGCUUGCUGCUUUGCUGACGAGUGGCGGACGGGUGAGUAAUGUCUGGGAAACUGCCUGAUGGAGGGGGAUAACUACUGGAAACGGUAGCUAAUACCGCAUAACGUCGCAAGACCAAAGAGGGGGACCUUAGGGCCUCUUGCCAUCGGAUGUGCCCAGAUGGGAUUAGCUAGUAGGUGGGGUAACGGCUCACCUAGGCGACGAUCCCUAGCUGGUCUGAGAGGAUGACCAGCCACACUGGAACUGAGACACGGUCCAGACUCCUACGGGAGGCAGCAGUGGGGAAUAUUGCACAAUGGGCGAAAGCCUGAUGCAGCCAUGCCGCGUGUAUGAAGAAGGCCUUCGGGUUGUAAAGUACUUUCAGCGGGGAGGAAGGGAGUAAAGUUAAUACCUUUGCUCAUUGACGUUACCCGAAGAGGAAGCAACGGCUAACUCCGUG
rnacentral:rRNA from 1 species